GUCUCUAAUGAAGGCAUUCAAUCCUAAAAAAGAACAAGGCCCUUGGUACAAGCAUCUAUAUGGAGAUAUUGUGUCUGAUGACUCAAAAUAUGAUAACUACAACUUGAGCCCCAGUCAGAACUCCAUUUAUCGAUCAUUGGUGAUAGUGCCUUCAUAAGUUUUCCAUUCAUACUAAGAGUUUUGAGACCAAAGGAUUCCUUUAGGGUUCCUGAAAAAAUGGUCGGUGGAGAAUGAACAGAGAGUGGACUUUGGAUGCUUAUGCAGCAGGUAUUUCCUACACUCCAUUGAUUUCAAUAAUUUUCUGUAGAUUAUGUCUCCAAGAGGAGAUAGGGCAGAGCCAUUCUAGGAAGCACCAAUCCCAAGAAAAUUAAAGCAGUAACUAAUUGGCUUUGGCCUACUAUAAUCACCAAGGUGUGAAAUUUUCUAGGCCUAGUAAGUUAUUACAGACGCUUUGUACAAAACUUGUCCAGGAUACUAGCUCCUCUAACAUGAUUGAUUCAAAAGAAUGUCCCCUUUUUCUAGUCAGAAGAGUGUAACGAAAGCUUCCAGAAGCUUAAGUACUUUUAACUA
rnacentral:misc_RNA from 1 species